CAGGUAUACUGGAGUGAUGGAGGUAGAUAUGUAUAGGGGGAAGGGGACAGGUAUACUGGAGUGAUGGAGGUAGAUAUGUAUAGGGGACAGGUAUACUGGAGUGAUGGAGGUAGAUAUGUAUAGGGGGAAGGGGACAGGGAUACUGGAGUGAUGGAGGUAGAUAUGUAUAGGGGACAGGGAUACUGGAGUGAUGGAGGUAGAUAUGUAUAGGGGACAGGGAUACUGGAGUGAUGGAGGUAGAUAUGUAUAGGGGACAGGGAUACUGGAGUGAUAGAGGUAGAUAUGUAUAGGGGGAAGGGGACAGGGAUACUGGAGUGAUGGAGGUAGAUAUGUAUAGGGGGAAGGGGACAGGGAUACUGGAGUGAUGGAGGUAGAUAUGUAUAGGGGUAAGGUGACUAUAUACAGGGUCAGUACCAUAUUAACAAUGUACAGGGAUACUGGAGGGAUGGAGGUAGAUAUGUAUAGGGGUAAGGGGACAGGGAUACUGGAGGGAUGGAGGUAGAUAUGUAUAGGGGGAAGGGGACAGGGAUACUGGAGUGAUGGAGGUAGAUAUGUAUAGGGGGAAGGGGACAGGGAUACUGGAGUGAUGGAGGUAGAUAUGUAUAGGGGGAAGGGGACAGGGAUACUGGAGUGAUGGAGGUAGAUAUGUAUAGGGGGAAGGUGACUAUAUACAGGGUCAGUACCAUAUUAACAAUGUACAGGGAUACUGGAGUGAUGGAGGUAGAUAUGUAUAGGGGUAAGGUGACUA
rnacentral:lncRNA from 1 species